rnacentral:rRNA from 1 species
CCUACGGGGGGCAGCAGUGGGGAAUAUUGCACAAUGGGGGAAACCCUGAUGCAGCGACGCCGCGUGAGUGAAGAAGUAAUUCGUUAUGUAAAGCUCUAUCAGCAGGGAAGAAAAUGACGGUACCUGAGUAAGAAGCCCCGGCUAACUACGUGCCAGCAGCCGCGGUAAUACGUCGGGGGCAAGCGUUAUCCGGCUUUACUGGGUGUAAGGGGGGCGUAGACGGCAGUGCAAGUCUUGAGUGAAAGGCGGGGGCGCAACCCCCGGACUGCGCUGGAAACUGUACGGCUGGAGUGCAGGAGAGGUAAGUGGAAUGCCUAGUGUAGCGGUGAAAUGCGUAGAUAUUAGGAGGAACACCAGUGGCGAAGGCGGCUUACUGGACUGUAACUGACGUUGAGGCUCGAAAGCGUGGGGAGCAAACAGGAUUAGAUACCCUUGUAGUC